GACUACUCAGCACUGAGGACAGAGGACAUCAGCUAUGGACGAAUCAUCAUCAAGGAGAACAAAAACAGAUCAAAGAUGAGAGAGCCUGGUCCAGCUGUGGUGUACUCAGCAGUGAGAACAGAAGACGUCAGUUAUGAACAAAUAGCCGUCACACCAAAGAGGAAAAGAGCCUUUAAACCAGAGCCAGACGUCGUCUACUCUUCACUGAAGUAUCCACCAGUCCAACCACUGACGUCCAGCUGCUGCUCUCUGACUGCUCUCCCAGCACCUCACAGACCAUCCAUGUGUUAACAAGAUUUUAAUGUAUUUUUUCACAUAUUUAGGCUCAUAUGGUUUCUAUUUUUAAUUCUAGUUUUAUAAUAGUGUUAUUAAAUAUGUUAAUGUUUCAUGUCCACAGUAACUUCACUGUUAUUUGUUUCAAAUAUGUGUUAC